rnacentral:lncRNA from 1 species
AAGUGGGGAGCGGAGAGAGAGGCAGGUCUAGAUGCAGAUGGUCUGUUUCCCCUAACAACAGCAACGGCGGCGAGGAGAAAUCCUGGUCUCCGCCAGCUCCCGGCCAGACUCGUAAUCAGGCCACUAACGACAGCGGGGAGCGUAAAAGUUCUCUUCCCUACCCACCUCGCGUGAUGCGGUGACACAGAAUGAAAUUCACAACACACAUGGAGAAAAGGAAAACAACCAAUCCUUCCCCAGAACGGAACAGCUAAGAGCCAACGCUACUGAAAACCAUGGGGCAGGCAUCUCCACCGAGUGCAGGGAAGAGGCCAGGAGAAGACCCAGGAAAUAAAUUUAAAAAGGGACAGCCUUUGAGCUGGUCCCUGACCGGUGAGCAAGACUUAGCUGUUCAGGAAAGCUGUGUGGCUGGAGCAGAGAAUAUACUGGAAAUCAGAGAGGUCAAAAACAAUGAGCAGGAGAUAUCGGAAGAAAUGUUCCUAACCACUUCACUCUUCCAAAGCCUUCACCCAUCUCUGGUGAAUAUAUCUAGGUCCAGCAGGGUCUCAGAAGCAGAUGCCAACCUGAGGGGAAUAUUUACCAGAUGACGUGAAGGCCGUGGAAAAAGAAGAAAUUGGAAAAUUCAUUAUUUAAGUGAGAAUUCCACAUAAG